GACGAACCGUGCGAACGUUAUUCGGAAUCACUGGGCUUAAAGCGCGUGUAGGCGGAAGGGCACGUCCGUACCUGAAAUCCCCCGGCUCAACCGGGGAAGUGGGUCGGAUACGACUCUUCUGGAGGGGCGUAGGGGGACCUGGAACUUCCGGUGGAGCGGUGAAAUGCGUUGAGAUCGGAAGGAACGCCCCGUGGCGAAAGCGAGGUCCUGGACGCUUACUGACGCUGAGACGCGAAAGCCAGGGGAGCGAACGGG
rnacentral:rRNA from 1 species